CUACCAGACUCCUACGGGAGGCAGCAGUGGGGAAUCUUCCGCAAUGGGCGCAAGCCUGACGGAGCAACGCCGCGUGAAUGAGGAAGGUCUUCGGAUCGUAAAGUUCUGUUCUUAGGGAAGAAGUCUUAGGUUGUGAAUAAUGACUUAAGGUGACGGUACCUAUGGAGAAAGCUCCGGCUAACUACGUGCCAGCAGCCGCGGUAAUACGUAGGGGGCAAGCGUUAUCCGGAUUUACUGGGUGUAAAGGGAGCGUAGACGGCGAAGAAAGUCUGAAGUGAAAGCCCGCGGCUCAACCGCGGAAUGGCUUUGGAAACUUUUUUGCUGGAGUACCGGAGAGGUAAGCGGAAUUCCUAGUGUAGCGGUGAAGUGCGUAGAUAUUAGGAGGAACACCAGUGGCGAAGGCGGCUUACUGGACGGUAACUGACGUUGAGGCUCGAAAGCGUGGGGAGCAAACAGGAUUAGAUACCCCUGUA
rnacentral:rRNA from 1 species